CUAACCUAGUGAGGAGGUCUUUAAACUAGGUUCACCGGGGGAAGGAGACCAAAGCCCCGAGCAGUUAAUCCAUUAGCAAGAAUCUAGCUGGAGAAAUCACCCAAACAGUAGGAGAUGAAGGUGAAAAGCCUCAGAAAAUGUGGACAAAGCCAGGAGAACAAAUGAAAGCACAAAUGGCCUGAGACAUCACCACCAAGCGACUGAAGCACUGAUCAAAGGGGAGAGCCUGGCUGAAGGGCAACCAGCCAGCCUGUGAGAUGCUGGAAAUGAGCUCACCUCCCAAGGCAAACAGCUUCAGCGGGUGUGUGGCUGUUGGGAGGAGAAGUCAGUGUGGAGACUCUCUCCUCCCCCAGAAAUGUCCGGGGGAAAAUGGUGCAUCUUGGCA